GAUGUGCGGCACCGCCUCUCCUCGGUGUCGGGGGAGGGACGGAGGGACCGGGCGGGAGAGAGAGAAAGCCUGACCGAUCGGCUGGCGAAGAGCUGCAUGCAACCGGUGGGAGGCCGGGCUGGCUGGGUCUGGGGCUCGGGCUCGGGCUCGGACCGUUUCCCGGCUGGUCCCUGGCGGUGAGCGCGGACGGCCCGGAGGCGGCGGCUCUGAGGUGGCAGGCGGAGGGCUGUCUCCUGCGCCCGCCUGCCCGGCGCGGUCCGAGGAUGCGGGGGGGCGAUGCCCGGGGCCAGGGACGCGCUCUGUCACCAGGCGCUGCAGCUGCUGGCCGAGCUCUGUGCCCGUGGGGCCCUGGAGCACGACAGCUGCCAGGAUUUCAUUUACCACCUGCGGGACCGUGCCAGACCCCGGCUCCGCGACCCAGAUAUCUCAGUGAGCCUGCUGACCCUUGUGGUCACUGCCUGUGGUCUCGCUCUCUUCGGCGUGUCUCUCUUCGUAUCUUGGAAACUCUGCUGGGUUCCGUGGCGAGAACGAGGCCUGCCCUCUGGUAGCAAAGACAACAACCAGGAGCCUCUUAACUACACGGACACAGAGACCAAUGAGCAGGAGAACAGUGAGGACUUCCUAGACCCUCCCACGCCCUGCCCUGACUCCUCCAUGAAGAUCAGCCACACCUCCCCUGACAUUCCCCUCUCCACCCAGACAGGGGUCCAGGAGAACUGUGCCCAUGGUGUCCAUGUGCAGCGCCAAGUCACAGAGCCAACCUCGUCGGCUCGGCAUAAUUCAAUCCGAAGACAACUCAACUUGUCAAACCCGGACUUCAAUAUCCAGCAGCUUCAAAAACAGGAACAGUUGACUGGAAUUGGUAGAAUUAAACCAGAGUUAUAUAAGCAGAGGUCAUUGGAUAAUGAUGACGGGAGACGGAGUAACAGCAAGGCUUGUGGGAAACUGAACUUCAUUUUAAAAUAUGACUGUGACUUAGAGCAGCUCAUAGUGAAGAUUCACAAAGCUGUCAAUUUGCCCGCCAAGGACUUUUCUGGGACUUCAGAUCCUUAUGUCAAGAUCUAUUUGCUUCCUGAUCGGAAAACAAAACACCAGACUAAAGUUCACAGAAAGACCCUGAACCCUGUGUUUGAUGAAGUGUUUUUAUUUCCAGUUCCCUACAAUGACCUUGAAGCACGGAAGCUUCACUUCUCUGUGUACGACUUUGACAGGUUCUCUCGUCAUGACUUAAUCGGCCAAGUGGUGGUGGAUCACUUCCUAGACUUGGCUGAUUUCCCCAGGGAGUGCAUCCUUUGGAAGGAUAUCGAAUAUGUCACCAAUGACAACGUGGAUCUGGGAGAGCUGAUGUUUUCCCUGUGCUAUCUUCCAACGGCUGGCAGGCUGACCAUUACCAUUAUAAAAGCAAGGAAUUUAAAGGCAAUGGACAUAACAGGAGCAUCAGAUCCCUACGUGAAAGUCUCGCUGAUGUGUGAUGGCAGACGACUGAAGAAGAGGAAAACAUCCACCAAGAGGAACACCUUGAAUCCUGUUUACAACGAAGCCAUAGUCUUUGAUGUCCCUCCCGAGAAUAUUGACCAAAUCCACUUGUCCAUAGCAGUCAUGGACUAUGACCGUGUAGGUCACAAUGAGAUCAUCGGCGUGUGUCAAGUAGGCAACGAGGCUGAGAGGCUGGGCAGAGACCACUGGAGUGAAAUGUUGUCAUAUCCUCGGAAGCCCAUUGCACACUGGCAUUCCCUGGUGGAGCUCACAAGCAUUCUAGGACCUUAGUGGCACUGUCCAGAAGAGGAAAAGAUUCAGAGCCCAGAAAACUCACCCAACUGAAGGGCUGCACCUUAAGAAGGGGGAGACCAGUAGGCUGCACCGCCGUAUUUCCAGAGGCUGACCUUGAUUCUGGCUAAUUACAUACACAAGGAAAUUCACCAAAUGAGCAAAGCCCAGCUAUGGAGUUCAGAAACGAUGACCAUGGGUAAGAGGACUGCUUGUGCCAAGGACACAAUAGGACAACCAUCUCACAAAGAUCUUAAGUAACUUUUUCCAUCCAGCAACACCCAGACGAUUUCAGUGACCAAAUGCUCAGCUGUAACCACAGCAAUAACUGGCCUUCUUUCCAGACUGGGUUUGGUGAACCUGAAUGGUCCAGCCACCUUCUGCAGGUGGCCCAAGGUGAUGUGCUGCAGGGAAGCAUGUCUCUCAUGCCAAGAACCAAGAUCGGACUAUGAAUGAAAACAAAUGAUAGAUAUAGUGACAGUACCAAGAGUACCAGGACUCAGUGUUUCAUAUGAAGCCCUUGGUGAUGAGGACAUAGCAUCUGCCCUGGAAAUUGUUAUUCUAACAUAAUAUUAUUUUCUAGAAUGCCCUGGAAGGACAGAAUAUUUAAAAAUAUAUCCAGGUGCUAAAUAGGCAGCAGAUCUCAAUUCACACAUGACUACCUUUGAGCUAAUGACUGUCUCCAGAAAAUAACUGUGCCCCAAGAAGUGCUCCAGAUUUGCAAGGAAUAGCCCCAAGAGAAUAAUAGGACAAGCAGGCUGUUCCCUGGAAAAAAUCUAAUGCAAGGAGGGCUAGUUCACAGCAAAUUCACUGCCUCCUCCCAUGCACAUGGUAGAUAGUACCAGUAUCAACAUGGCCCUGUUUUCUGCUAAAACCAGAUUUUGAGGAAUCAGAGACACCCAACACUAUUCACUCAGUAGCCAGCAGCCACUUCCUUUCAACUGGGAGUGUUAUUAGCAUGAAAAGUAAUUGUUAUCACAGUUAGAAGGGCAUACAUCUCAGUGGCAUGAGCAUUGUGGAAUAUCCUUUCCUAGGCACAUUUGUCCACUAAGGGAAUAGCCUCAGAAACUGGUAUAGCAAUGGGUGAGAUGAGAUCAUGGAGAGAGAACACAGCCAUCCCCUACAGAAAGGCACAGCUUUUGAGCUUCUCUGGCCUGAGUGCCUUCUGGGGUAUUUCCAUAUGCAACAGCCCAGAGUCAUAGCCUUGGGCAACCACACAUAGAGGUUUCCUUCUCACUUCAGACACAUAUAUCACUUUCACAGCACUUGGGGAUAGAAAUACCUACAAGAGUGAAGGUCAAGGGCCCUCCCCAGGCAUCUCAUUCAUUACUCAGCUUCCUUCCUGACCAAAUCUGCCAACCAAUGGCCAGCUAUGCGCCUCAUCCUCAUUGCUUCUGCCUCCAAGUAAAUGAAACCAAAGGCCUCAGCAUAUCCUGGGAGGACUGGGGGCUGUUACCUAAUGGUCCUCUCUGUCCCAUUAUAGGUGCAAGGCACCCCUUCCACACAUUUGCACCACUACUCCAAGAUAAUAUUUUCCUUUUCACACAAUCUCUUUACAGCAGAAUCCAGAGUUGGAUUGUAGUUUACCUUCCUGGAAAGCUCAUUAUCUUUGUUUGAAUUAACAUUUCAGCAUGGAACUAACUGGGCGGAAGAAGGAUCGUUACACGUCUUCAGAAAGUUCUCAUUGCCCCACCUGCCUAGUACUAUACAAGAAGCUCUACUCUGAUGGCAGAUCUAAGAAGGCUAUAGGCCUUUGGUUGUAGGAAGCAAUGUCAUUACAUUCAAGCUUCACUUCUCUGAUUGGCUUCCAACCACUGGGAUUCAAAGAGAAUCCAAGGUUCUGCCUAUGUCUGAUUACAUAAGGAAAAUUUGGCUUCCUCUGCUCAUCACUCCUCAUUCAGACUUCCUCCACUAUACCAGUGCUCAAAACAUGAAGGGCUAGCGCCACCAGGAGAGUUAGCAGAAAUAUUGUCUGUAAAGCUAGGCAGAUGAACCCAGAAGAAUGGUCCCAGAGAAAGCAGACUGGCUCCAAUAGAUAUCAGGCAGCAAUCCCAAUAAAUUCUGACAUGUCCUUGGCAAUGGAAGCCUGGGUUGGAGAUCCUGAGGCAGCUGUGCCUACUGUUCCCCACCUCAGAAGCUUCCUGCCCAGAAAGCCAGCAGCCUUGGGAUACUAAUGAGGAUACAACUGGCUUGUUGGUAUGAAAUAGAAGGUGGCUUUGUAGGGGCAAGCAGGCAAAGAGGACUAUCCACAUGGCAGGCAGGUGGCUUUGUGUCUGGAAAGCUUUGCCUAGCCAGUACAGCUGUGACCAGAGGCUGAUUAUAAAUUUGAACUCCCUCAGCCCAUUUGCAACUCUGCCUCUGUUCUCUUGCAUUCUGUUUGGUUGCCCUUUAGUUUCCUAGUAAAUGCUCCUUUUCAAAAACUCCAACCUUGUCUCAUUUAACUUGGGGAAGGGGAUUCUCCAGUGUCUUUUCCAGGAUAAAGAAGGAAAUUAAAAUACCAUGAAAAAAUGGACAUGGCAGUAGAAAGGAAACAUUCUGAUCAGACCUUGGGAAAAGCUGGUGUCAAGAGAGAGGGAGAGGCCAGGUGUCCCCCCCACCCAACUGGCACUGAUUCUCAGCCCCUUCCUCUUACUUCUGUUGGCUUCAAGGAAAUCUGCCCUUGAUGUGUGUUGCUGCCGAAGCACCCUCCCAGCCAGUGAAUUCAACAUAUGCAGCAGGCACUUUGAUGUCCAUGAAGUACACUGGUACAUGACAGGAGCAAGAGUCAGGGAGGGGAGGGGAAAGGUUUCUACAAUGCGGAUGUUUUCAAAAUUCUCCAACAAUCAUGACUCUAAAUGGUAUGAUUUAGGGCUGGGUACAGUGACUCAUACCUAUAAUCUCAGCACUUUGGGAUGCCAAGGCGGGAGGAUCACUCGAUACGAAGAGUUCAAGUCUGGCAACAUGGAGAGAUCCCCAUCUAAUUUCAAAAGAGACCCCCUGGCUAUCUUUUUAAAAAUUAGCCAUGUACCUGUAGUCCCAGCUACUUAGGAAGCUGAGAUAGGAGACUCACCUGAGUCCAGGAGCUUGAGGCUACAGCGAGCCGUGAUUGCAACACUGCAUUUCAGCCUGGGUGACAGAGCAAGGCCCUGUCUCUCUAAAAAAGAAAAAGGUAUUAUUUAGUUCACAUGGCCAUCAGUAGAACUGCAUUUCACAUGAUGAGAAGAAAAUAAUUAUUUUACCCUUGAGUCAGGGAGAUUGACGAAGGAUAGGUAUGGAAAAUCGCUUGCUAUUUUCAUGGCCACCCUGUCCUGCAAUGAGGGGGGCGGGAGGGGGGGCAUUCCAAUGACUUAUUGCUGCAUAACAAAGCACCAAAACAUAGUGGCUUAAAUAGAAAUAUAUUGUCUCUCAUGA